CCAGCCUGAUCUCGCCAGAUCUCAGAAGCUGACAAGUAUUUGGACGGGAGACCCCCAAGGAACAUCAGUCAUGAUGCCGAGGCGGGCAAUGACAAACCACCUCUGAACGAGGUCACCGUUAAGUCAGCUGUGACUUGACAGUACUGGGCCACCUUCUGAACCUCUUCCUGCAAAAAACGCAUAUGGCUCCUUGGAACAAGGCCAGCUCUGUCUUUCUCGUUAUUGUUCCUGCCCCUUCCCACUGAAAGACAGCCCCUGUCAAAUGAAGAAAAGCUGUUUAUUAUGAUUGCAGUGGUCGGCCCAGCAGAUGUUUUCUACUUGAAUACAUUUAGGUAUCGAGGGUUUCUUUUGUGGUUGUAAUGGGUGAGAGUUCUCCUGGAAACCUUCAUCAUGUUGAAUC